GCAGUGAUCCCUCUUCCUGGGGAGGAUGGCGCCAGAGCGUGCGACAGAUCAUGCUAACCAAUGUUCAUGUCCAUAACCAGGAACCACAUGUGUAUGCACAGUUUACACAAUAACUGCUUAUUCAUUAUAUGUCAUCUAACGCUUAUUACAUUGUAAUAAGGAAUUGUACGUAGGCCUAAUUCACCUGGAACAUCGUGGUAUAGAAAUGAUAUUUAAACUAUAGGCUAGACGUGAAUAAACAUUGCUGSGGGACAAUACAGAUAGUUUCACCACAUAUUUUGCAUUAUUUGCCAUGUUUUGACACAGUGACAAAAAUCUAUAGAUACAGUAUAUCUCCAAGUAUGAAUAACUUGGGCAAACUUGGGCCACUGUUGACACGUGUUCCAGGAAUGGGAGACAGUUGAAUUAAAUAGAUUUCUGCUAAAAUAAAAUCAUAGAAAAGUGCCCAGUUUUGAAGACAGUUCCCUCACCUUCAAAUCCUAGUUUAACUCCUGUUAGAUCAUGUGCGCAUUGAUAACCUCUGGUGUAAUUAACCAUGCAUUGUAGAGUAUUUAAUGCACAUGCGGGUAUGACAAAUUAACAAGGCAGGCAGGCAGGCAUCCUGUGGGCACACAUCCCCAGGAACUGUACAAUGUGGAAUACUGUAACAUUAGAGCAAACGCACAAGGUGCCUGAAUAACAAAACAAAGGUUGAGAGAGGUGUAUUCUGCUAUGAGAGCGCGGAGAGCUCGCUCUCUGCGGCUUUCUGAGGGGAACGAAAGCUCCUACUUGAUGCUGCCGGCGGAAAGUGCGCGCUGCAGGGCGACGGCGCAGUCACAAGCGCCCAUCAAAGCCUCUGCUGCAAGCGGGAGGAACCUGGCAGUGACAGGCCGAAUCAAGGCCUACACAGGAAGGAGUACUGGAAGGACUGAGGAGAUCUUGUCUUAAUGUACAGACAGACCAGGAGGCAAGCUGGCAGCAGAGAGAGAUCACCUGGGCAUAAGAGGGGAGGCCUACUCUUAACAUCACACCUCCAGCAGGAUACUCACUGUAAACAAUGGCUAACCCCACCCCCAAUCUCCAGCUUCAGCCAGACAUUCUCAAAUUGAAUUAAGGUCCUGUUCUGUGCUGCAGCCCCCUCGGCCCCCCUACGAGCAACCCCCUUGGCCUGGCCCUGUUCCCCUCAUCCAGCCGCCUCGGACUAAUUAAAACCGGUGUGGUCUUGUCUUCGCUGGAUUAACCCUAACGAGGAUCUACUGACUCCACCAGCAUGUGCCUCUUGAUGAGAGAGAGAGAGAGAGAGAGAGAGAGAGAGAGAGAGAGAGAGAGAGAGAGAGAGAGAGAGAGAGAGAGAGAGAGAGAGAGAGAGAGAGAGAGACAGAAAGAGAAAUGGGAGGAUUUGUCCAGGCAACCUUAGCCUUGAAACCCAACACUUAAUUCACUACAGAUGAUACAGAAAAGGUGGAAGAGAGAGAGAGAAAGAGACAAAUAUACUUAUGUUGAUAGUUUAAAUCACUAGUGUGUGUAGUGUUUUAAAAACUGUUAGUGAACACAUUGAAACGUGGCCUUAUUGUGAAGAGAGUCAUAAAACGGACCUCUGGUCAGCCCUCUAUGAAUCCAUUUGAUUCCAUCAUACAGAGAGAUGAAUGUCAAUUCUCUUUCUUUCUUUGUGUGUGUGUGUGUGUGUGUGCGUGUGUGCCAGGGGCAGAGAAAAAUGUAAUUCUCUGGCUUUGAUAAUGCAUUAAUAAUAAAAUGCAAUGUUAAAACAA